rnacentral:misc_RNA from 1 species
CAUAGAGGCCGUAACCGGUCUUGCAACCCUGUCCAUCGUACCAUUUUUAUUGUUCCCUCGGCGCGGCAGCACGCCGCGUCGGCGGGAAGCUCAACGAAACCUCUGCAACGAAGCAUCCAAAACAAAACCUCUGAUCAACAAACCUAAUCGUCA